CACCACCCACCUAAUGACUUCCUGUUGGUUUGCUGACAGGAGGGUUUACUCAAAGAGGAGGUUGGAAAUAAUCAGUAUGACUGCUGAUACGCUGAGGAUAUCUUUCAUAUCAACAAUAAAAUUAUUACCAAACAAAAUAACCAAACCAAAAAGACAACAUGAUCAUCCUGUUCCUAAGCAUUCAUUUGAACACUAUUCUGGUUUCAGGUUCCUCUCUCAGUGAGCAAGUCUUGCAGACUCCAGCUGACAUUUACAGCAGACCAGGAGAGCCAGCCAAAAUCAGAUGUUUACACACCAGUCCAAGCUAUAACCGAAUCCUCUGGUACAAACAGUCAAAAAGACAACUACAGUUCCUGGGAUAUGUGAAUUAUAAUGAUGGCUAUCCAGAGACCGGAGUGAAUGUGACGAUGGAAGGGAGUGCAAACAAAGACCAAAACUGCACAUUAACAAUUAAAGAACUCAGCCUGAGCAGCAGUGCAGUGUACUUCUGUGCUGCUAGUUUACACAGUGCUACAUAUCACUGCUCCUCAGUACAAAAACCUCCUCACAUUGUUUCACGUCUUUAUUACAGCGCUCAGCCCCUGCACCUGUAUUCCUUCCUUUCAUAGGGUGGCAGUAUAUCUUUAAUCAGAUCUUUAUAUUGA